rnacentral:sRNA from 1 species
CGAAGGUGCUCCUCGGUUGGUACGGACAAGGCCCUAGACAAGCCCAAUCCUCCCAGCUCAGGAGCACUUUCCUAUUCCCAGCACACCCAACAGACGAUCAGCGGUGAAAGCAG